rnacentral:rRNA from 1 species
AGUGAACGCUGGCGGUAGGCCUAACACAUGCAAGUCGAACGGCAGCACAGUAAGAGCUUGCUCUUACGGGUGGCGAGUGGCGGACGGGUGAGGAAUACAUCGGAAUCUACUUUUUCGUGGGGGAUAACGUAGGGAAACUUACGCUAAUACCGCAUACGACCUACGGGUGAAAGCAGGGGAUCUUCGGACCUUGCGCGAUUGAAUUAGCCGAUGUCGGACUAGCUAGUUGGCGGGGUAAAGGCCCACCAAGGCGACGAUCCGUAGCUGGUCUGAGAGGAUGAUCAGCCACACUGGAACUGAGACACGGUCCAGACUCCUACGGGAGGCAGCAGUGGGGAAUAUUGGACAAUGGGCGCAAGCCUGAUCCAGCCAUACCGCGUGGGUGAAGAAGGCCUUCGGGUUGUAAAGCCCUUUUGUUGGGAAAGAAAAGCAGCAGGUUAAUACCCCGCUGUUCUGACGGUACCCAAAGAAUAAGCACCGGCUAACUUCGUG